rnacentral:misc_RNA from 1 species
AUCAACCUUAUUUUAGCCCUAAUUGUUCACAUCUAAUUGUCUCAAAUCUACUGCUAUGUCAAAAUGGUAUAAGAGUUGAAAAUCCUGCAUUCCCACAAGAAUUUUUGGCUAGGAAACUAUGGUUGGCAGAGCUAGAGGCAACCAACCCCUGAAGUUGGCUGAGAUACGGAGAAUGAUGGGGGACUUGACUUAGGAACUAGAGGGAGCUUGAAUGGAGUAUCUUGAAGGCGACCAUGAUCCCCUUAAGACUCAAGAUCUUAAGAUUGAGAAUGUGAACCCUUUUAAUGAAAUUGGACCUGCAGAUUGAGCAGCAAGAAGCCGAUUGGAAGAGUGGUGCCCUUGAUUUGAAUGGAGUUGUAAAAGUUGAAGUAGCUGAUUUCAUGCAAAGUUACAUGCGAAGGAUUAUUUUGAUUUAAAAGCCGGUUUGGAGAAUUACUUCGAAUGGAAGCCCAUGGUAGAAAAUUCAAUGAUGCUAUUUGUAAAGCUUAAAAAAUGAAGGGCACUAAACUUCAAUGGUGGAAGAGAUUGAAGAGCAACAUGCAUGAAAAAACCAAGCUUAAGGUUAACACUUGGGAGCAUUUGGAAACUAAGCUAUGAAAGCAAUUUUUACCUGUUGUUUAUAUAAUGAAACUAUAUUAGGAGUUCCAUUAUUUAAAGCAAAAUAGCAAGUCUGUUAAGGAUUACAUUGCGACUGCAGAGUUCAACAACCUGGCAAUUUGGGUCGGACUAUCCUAGAGUAACCAACAAAUUACUUCUCAUUAUCUUGCUGGUUUGAAUCAUUCUAUGAGAGAUGAUUAAUUUGUUUGUACAACAUAGAGGAUGCUCACGAAUAUGCUUUAGCAGUUGAAAAGCGAGUUUCAAGCCAUGGUGCUAGAAAGCUCUUAUAUGGCACCAAUUGAUAAAACAAUUCUAGAGCAAGAAGUAGUUAUCAAACGACGCAAUAAAAAUAUUAAGGGGAUUAUGUAACCAACAAAAAUAAUGGGGGUGUAAACAAUAUUGAAAAGAGUGAUAAAGGCAAUAGUAUAAUGGACAAAAUAAUUUUGGUUCUUCCAUAACUAAGGAGGCAGCAAUACCUAAAUUUGAUGUUUUACGUUUUUACUCAUGGAGAGAAAUGACACACUUCUUUUGCUUUCUCACAACAAAGAGUGAACCUAGUGGAAUUCAAGAGUUGGAACUAGUUUGUAAUGACUUUGAUGAGGAGAUAGAGGGAGUUGAUGUUCACCUUGCAGAAGGUGAGUCGUUAGUGGUGCGAAAAGUGAUGAAAACAACAAACAAUAAUGAAUAGGAGGAUUAGUGUUUCAUUCUUUGAAUAAGAUUUAUCCUACAAAGUAUAAAUAAGGUUGUUGGUAAAGAUCAAUAGUUCUUUUAAAAAAAAGAAAAAAAUUUAUCAAGAGCUUUUAUGUAAACCCUAAUUAUCUUUUCUUUAUUCCAACCGUAAUCAACCAUAUUUCAACCCUCAUUGUUGAAAUUGAAUUGUCUUAAACUCUUUCGCUGCAUCAAAAAGUUAAGAGAAUGAAACAUUAAGCUAUAGGCCUCUAAUUUACCACCUUCUAGAGGUAUUAAUGAUUGAACAAAUUGAAUUUACUAAAACUAAUUUACUGCUACUCCCACAGCUUUAAAACAAAAAUGCAUAAGCUCCCAAUGUCAGCAGACUUAUGACAACAAGUUUGACGAAAAACUAUAUCACUUGCAAACUACAUUUUACCUUCACAAGAUCUGCAAUAGGAUCAACCAAUAACAAAAUUCCCAAAAUGAUAAAAGUUCAUUACUUUUAAAAUUAAGUAAGUUCAGUUCAGCAUGUUGAGAAAUAUGCUGCCACUUAACAAGGAUGAGUCUAACCUGCACAUGCAUGGCAAGAAAUGCAGUGGCUGCCAUGAAUCCCAAGUGCAAAGUGCAUGGAAUG